rnacentral:rRNA from 1 species
UGAGUAACACGUAUGCAACCUGACCUGUAAGCGGGGAAUAACCCGUUGAAAGACGGACUAAUACCGCAUAAUACUAAAUUACUGCAUGGUAAUUUAUUUAAACAUUUAUGGCUUACAGAUGGGCAUGCGCAUGAUUAGCUAGUUGGAGAGGUAACGGCUCCCCAAGGCAACGAUCAUUAGGGGUUCUGAGAGGAAGGUCCCCACACUGGUACUGAGACACGGACCAGACUCCUACGGGAGGCAGCAGUGAGGAAUAUUGGUCAAUGGACGAGAGUCUGAACCAGCCAGGUCGCGUGCAGGAAGAAUGUCCUAUGGAUUGUAAACUGCUUUUGCAGGGGAAUAAAGUGCAUCACGUGUGAUGUUUUGUAUGUACUCUGCGAAUAAGGAUCGGCUAACUCCGUGCCAGCAGCUGC